AGGAAAAGAGAAAAAAGAUGUAACUUGAAAUUCUCACAUCUUAAUGGUAAGUCUAUUAGAAAUUAUAUAUCACCAUACCGUAAAGUUGUAACAGAGAAAUAGAAUCAAUUGUAUUGACAAGUAUUAAUAUUUCUUCUGUAUUCUUAUUCGUAUAUCUUAACAAAGUGAUAAAUGUAAAAUUGGAUUGGUCAUGACUUAAAACUUUUGUCAUGUUUUCUUCUACUUUUGGCAGAAAGAAGAAGUCAUUUAAUUACUUGCUUAUUGUUUUAUUAUGUAUAGAGGAGAUUUUGAUACCAAGACUUCUCAAAUGUUAAAGUGCAUAAAAAUCACCCAGUGAUCUUAAAAUUCAAGCUCUAGUUCAUUAGAUCUGGGUUGGGAGUGGAGGGUCUACAUUUCUAACAAGUAUCCCUGUGUUACCUAUACUGUCUGGCAGGACCUGAGAUUUCUUCCAAAGGAUAUUUCCAUUCCACAGAUAUUGGUGCUCUAUUCCCAGUCCUUCUCCAGAAAUCACUACUGAAAAAUGGGGUGUCCUGAGAUACUUUGGCAAGAGUCGAGAAGAAAACUAAAGUUUGCCUUUGCUGGCUGAAACCUCUUACUCCCUGUUAUGGCUUAGACCUAAAAUGGUCCCAGAAUCCUUGUGUGUUUGGAAAAUGAUUGGAUCCGGUGGUGCUAUUAGGCAUAGAGCCAAAUGUGCUGUUAAGAGGUGUGACUUUCUUAGAAAAGGCAGAUCACUGGUGACCUGAGCCACCUAAGACUCUCUGGCUAUGUCUCUCUCUGGCUCCUCUCUUCUCCCUGUGCUUCUUGGUCGCCAUGACAUGAGCAGCUUUCCUUUGUAGCAGGCCCUUCCACCACGUGAACUUCACCUUGGAGCCUGCCAACCACGGACUGAACCUUUUGAAAUGGAUCCACCCUGUGCUCAGCUUACCUUGCCCAUGAUCAUAAUCAUUGCCAGGAGCUGUCCACGUCAGGUUGAUGACACUGUAACCCUGCACCUUUGCCCUCAGGUCAGUGAUCUGACAAGGUGGGAAGAGGUCAGGGAUGGGAGCUUUUGGGACAUGAGAGGCCACAAACGAACCUCCUGAAGAUGUUCUGCUGAAACACACUUUUUUAUUUUGAACUUCAGUCUUAUUAUUUGCAGGUCUUGGCGGAUUCAAUUGUAUUUUACCUGUAUUAAAAGAUCAUUUAAAAUACGGCUUGCAAUCUGGAUGGAAUAAAAAGGAAAAGAAGAAAAAAGAUUCUGACUUCUGCUUACCCUUCUAUGGACUGCUUCUCUGCCACGCAAACCUGCUUUGGAACCAGCUGACUAUAAUGAAAGCGCUAUAAAAUGUGGCCUGAAAUAAACCUUUUUGCCUUUAACUUGUGGCUGUUGGAUAUUUUGUCCUAGACACAAGAAACUAAUAUAGGUGUCUUUUAAAGCAUAUCCCUAUGAUCAUCUUUGCUGAGAAGACACACUAUAUUCCAGAAUCCUCCUUCACCCAAGAAAAGAGAUAAGAUCUUUCUUCACUUGAGUGACAAGAAAAGGCCUGCCAAAACACAGUGGAGAUGGAUGGAAAACAAGCCCUGGAACCUGUUAGACUCAGUCUUUGCCCCAAUCCCUGCACUUGUCCAGGGCAGGUUCUUGUAACAAGAGUGGUGUGGAAUUAUCUAUUUCAUAAACAUCGUUUUCCCAUCUGGUUACACGUAGGCUCAGCGUGCUGGCUAGCACAAUUAGUCUACUGUCCUUCUUGGUCUGAGUUCGAAGAAGGGAGGCAAGAGACAGAGUGGGUUACGGAAAUCCUGAUGUAGAUGACAAGUUCUAACUUAUAUUUUCAUUUUGUGGAAAAGUUAAUGUUAGUAAA